UACGUAGGGGGCAAGCGUUGUCCGGAAUCAUUGGGCGUAAAGCGCGUGUAGGCGGUUUUCGUAAGUCUGCUGUGAAAGUCGGAGGCUCAACCUUCGAAAGCCGGUGGAUACUGUGAGACUUGAGUACGGAAGAGGAGAGUGGAAUUCCUGGUGUAGCGGUGAAAUGCGCAGAUAUCAGGAGGAACACCAACGGCGAAGGCAGCUCUCUGGGACGUUACUGACGCUGAGACGCGAAAGCGUGGGGAGCAAACAGG
rnacentral:rRNA from 1 species